rnacentral:ncRNA from 1 species
UUUACGGAGAGUUUGAUCCUGGCUCAGGAUGAACGCUGGCGGCGUGCCUAAUACAUGCAAGUCGAACGAGGGCACUCUUGUAGCAAUACGGGGGUGUUCCUAGUGGCGAAUGGGUGAGUAACACGUAGGUGACCUGCCCCAAAGUGGGGGAUAACGGUUCGAAAGGACUGCUAAUACCCCAUGUGAUCCAGAGGGUUAGAGGCUUCUGGAUGAAAGGAGCAAUCCGCUUUGGGAGGGGCCUGCGGCCCAUCAGCUUGUUGGUAGGGUAACGGCCUACCAAGGCGACGACGGGUAGGGGGCCUGAGAGGGUGGUCCCC